rfam:Candidatus Halobonum tyrrellensis G22 contig00032, whole genome shotgun sequence.
AGUCCCGUGGUGUAGUGGCCAAUCAUGAGGGCCUUUGGAGCCUUCGACGGCGGUUCGAAUCCGCCCGGGACUA